UACGGGGGAUGCGAGCGUUAUCCGGAUUUAUUGGGUUUAAAGGGUGCGUAGGCGGGCUUUUAAGUCAGCGGUAAAAAUUCGGGGCUCAACCCCGUCCGGCCGUUGAAACUGGGGGCCUUGAGUGGGCGAGAAGAAGGCGGAAUGCGUGGUGUAGCGGUGAAAUGCAUAGAUAUCACGCAGAACCCCGAUUGCGAAGGCAGCCUUCCGGCGCCCUACUGACGCUGAGGCACGAAAGUGCGGGUAUCGAACAGG
rnacentral:rRNA from 1 species